UACGGGAGGCAGCAGUGGGGAAUAUUGGACAAUGGGCGCAAGCCUGAUCCAGCCAUACCGCGUGGGUGAAGAAGGCCUUCCGGUUGUAAAGCCCUUUUGUUGGGAAAGAAAUCUUGCCGUUUAAUACCUGGCGAGGAUGACGGUACCCAAAGAAUAAGCACCGGCUAACUUCGUGCCAGCACCCGCGGUAAUACGAAGGGUGCAAGCGUUACUCUGAAUUACUGGGCGUAAAGCGUGCGUANGUGGUGGUUUAAGUCUCCUGUGAAAGCCCUGGGCUCAACCUGGGAAUUGCANUGGAUACUGGGUCUCUANAGUGUGGUAGAGGGAUGCGGAAUUUCCGGUGUAGCAGUGAAAUGCGUAGAGAUCGGAAGGAACAUCCCUGGCGAAGGCGNCAUCCUGGGCCAACACUGACACUGAGGCACGAAAGCGUGGGGAGCAAACAGGAUUAGAUACCCUGGUAGUCCACACCCUAAACGAUGCGAACUGGAUGUUGGGUGCAACUUGGCACCCAGUAUCGAAGCUAACGCGUUAAGUUCGCCGCCUGGGGAGUACGGUCGCAAGACUGAAACUCAAAGG
rnacentral:rRNA from 1 species